rnacentral:rRNA from 1 species
UACGUAGGGAGCAAGCGUUGUCCGGAAUCAUUGGGCGUAAAGCGCGCGUAGGUGGCCCUGUAAGUCCGUUGUGAAAGUCAAAGGCUCAACCUUUGAAAGCCGAUGGAUACUGCAGGGCUGGAGUCCGGAAGAGGCGAGUGGAAUUCCUGGUGUAGCGGUGGAAUGCGCAGAUAUCAGGAGGAACACCAAUGGCGAAGGCAGCUCGCUGGGACGUGACUGACGCUGAGACGCGAAAGCGUGGGGAGCAAACAGG